GUCCAUUCAGGGACAUCUGAUAAAAUUGGAACGAUACGAAAAAGAUUAGCAUGAGCCCUGCACAAGGAUUACAUGCACAAAUCGGGAAAUGGUAUUAGAGCAU